rnacentral:rRNA from 1 species
UACAUAGGUCUCGAGCGUUGUUCGGAUUCAUUGGGCGUAAAGGGUGCGUAGGUGGCGAGGCAAGUCGGUUGUGAAAUCCCGGAGCUCAACUCCGGAACUGCAUUCGAUACUGCUUUGCUCGAGUACUGGAGAGGAGAUUGGAAUUUACGGUGUAGCAGUGAAAUGCGUAGAUAUCGUAAGGAAGACCAGUGGCGAAGGCGAAUCUCUGGACAGUUACUGACACUGAGGCACGAAGGCCAGGGGAGCAAACGGG